rnacentral:rRNA from 1 species
UAGGAUAAAGAUGGGCAUGCGGAACAUUAGCUAGUUGGCGGGGUAACGGCCCACCAAGGCUACGAUGUUUAGGGGAUCUGAGAGGAUGGCCCCCCACACUGGUACUGAAACACGGACCAGACUCCUACGGGAGGCAGCAGUAAGGAAUAUUGGUCAAUGGGCGCAAGCCUGAACCAGCCAUGCCGCGUGCAGGAAGACAGCCCUACUGGUCGUAAACUGCUUUUAUACCGGAAUAAACCCUUUCACGUGUGAGAGGUUGAAUGUACGGUAGGAAUAAGGAUCGGCUAACUCCGUGCCAGCAGCCGCGGUAAU